rnacentral:rRNA from 1 species
GAUGAACGCUGGCGGCGUGCUUAACACAUGCAAGUCGAACGAGAAGUGAAGACGGAAACCUUCGGGCGGAAGGCUUUAUUUCGAGUGGCGGACGGGUGAGUAACGCGUGGGUAACCUGCCUCAUACAGGGGGAUAACAGUUGGAAACGACUGUUAAUACCGCAUAAGACCACAGCACCGCAUGGUGCGGGGGUAAAAACUCCGGUGGUAUGAGAUGGACCCGCGUUCGAUUAGCCAGUUGGCGGGGUAACGGCCCACCAAAGCGACGAUCGAUAGCCGAUCUGAGAGGAUGACCGGCGACAUUGGGACUGAGACACGGCCCAAACUCCUACGGGAGGCAGCAGUGGGGAAUAUUGCACAAUGGGGGAAACCCUGAUGCAGCGACGCCGCGUGAGUGAAGAAGUAUUUCGGUAUGUAAAGCUCUAUCAGCAGGGAAGAAAAUGACGGUACCUGAGUAAGAAGCCCCGGCUAACUACGUG